AUUUCUCUGAGAUGUUUGCAAGCGGGCCAGUCCCCUGAGCCGAUAUUUCAUACCACAAGAAUGUGGCGCUCCACGGUUGGUGAGCAUGCUCGGCCCAUCCGAGAAGCCUUAAAACUGUGACGACACAUUCACCUUGAACCAAGGGUUCAAGGGUUACAGCCUGCGGCGGCAUCUCGGAGAUUCC
rnacentral:other from 1 species